rnacentral:rRNA from 1 species
ACGCUCGACACCUACGGGAGGCAGCAGUGAGGAAUAUUGGUCAAUGGGCGCUAGCCUGAACCAGCCAAGUAGCGUGAAGGAUGAAGGCUCUAUGAGUCGUAAACUUCUUUUAUAUAAGAAUAAAGUGCAGUAUGUAUACUGUUUUGUAUGUAUUAUAUGAAUAAGGAUCGGCUAACUCCGUGCCCGCAGCCGCGGUAAUCUGAGCGGGCUGGCAAGGC